UUCCAAAAUGGUCGGAGGCACACCCCCAUCUGCAUGCCGCACUCCUCCAAAUGCGCAAUGACCUUUUCCAUCUGCACGACGCGCUCCUCGCAUUGCACGAUGCAGUGCUCAGAAUGCACGACGUUCUGAUGGCACCACUUGAGACUGGCCCUGUUGUAGCAUGAAGAAUCCCACCUGCCUCAUUCCUUCCUACUCGAACAGAUGGAUCGUAAAGGGUGACAAGAGCAGGAGAGCAGAGUGCCUGGAGAAGUCAUGCCUAGUCUCUGUAUUCUAGCUCAAAAGAGAUACUUGUCACUCUCUCUCAGAGUCAAUUGGCAAGAGCUGGUCACAUGGACACACCCGUGCAGGAAGACUGGGCGUUGAGGAAAAGCACGUGUAUGUUUGGCCUUCACAUCCACUCACCACUCUCUCAUGACUCACCCAGAGCAACUUCCAGUCCUGCAAGCUGCAUUUAUGGCACUUAAGAAACAGUAAGUGCAAGAAGGACACGCUGACCCUUUUUUGUCUUCCUGAAAGCGAGAGAGAAAACUGCCAUGUGAAAGUUUGAUUCUUAGGACAAGCCAGAGAUGCAAAGAGUGUAAAGGAGCAUUUUUCCUCCCCUCACCACUGACACCCUGGCCUCUGGGACCAGAAGCUGAGUCUCAUUUGGGCAUUCACAGAGCAAACAGGAAUGCUAGGGGCCCACAACUCCGCAGGCAGCUGAGGAGAGGCAGCAACAAGGCAUCAGACUCAUCUAUGCAGACAUUUCACGUUGGGACCUUGUGCCACUGCCCCUCAUCUCCUUAGGAGUAAUAAUUUGCUGAUUUUCUCCCAAGACGUGGGUGCUUUCGUCUGCAGUGGCCUCAGACCUCCCACAGCCAUCUGGAUCUUCCUCUCUCCUUUCCCACUGCCUCAGGGAAAAGGGGGAACGCGCCCACUGAUAUGUGCCAGCCUCUAUCUUUCCUCGUCCUUCAAAGCUCUGAACUAGAAAGGGUAGAUUCUUCAUACACUCUAAGUCCAUUCCUGGGUCUUGUCUUUUCCGGCAAGUAUGUACUCCGAGGCCUAAUAUGGCCUGGUUUUUGUGGUGUCAAAUUUAGUUAUUUCUCUUACUGUAAAAUGCAGGCAUAAAAGAAAAUUAUCAUCUCCCUAAAAGCAGUCAAAUUAGUGAACUGAAUAGUAAUCUCUUUAUUCUAGAGGAAACUUUCUUCUUCCUGGAGUGAUAGCUCAGCCUUCGAGCAUAAGGCUCUGAGGCUCAAUUGUUAGAAGAGAGUGAGCAAUAUUUAGACUCACAGUGUUAUUUUUAAGAUACUAAACAACUUUGCAAUAUAAAAAGUGAUCUUAAAUCAUUCACUUAUUUAAAUUUUUGUGGAUAUAAUUCAAUGGAGAAGGAAUCAUGUUUGAAAUCAUCCUUAUACCAAAUAAAUAUGUACAUGUAUUAGAUGUCUAUGAUUUAUGUGACAGCAUAGUUUGAUGGAAACAAUACAGACUGGGAGGUAUGUGCCCUGCUUUCUAGGUUUGUUCUGCUUUGUAGUUAUCUUUAAAGCCAAAUCUCUGCUAAAUCUAAUACACGAUGAUUCCAUAAAACACUUUUUAAAAAAAGUUUUAAUAUGAAUUUAUGUGAAUAAAGUUGUUUCUCUUCCAUGUAUCAGUAAGUCUUUUCUCUCUGAUUCAAGUCUUGCAUCAGGUAUGAUGCAUGUAGCGUGCCAACUUCAUGUGGCAACAAAUCGGGGGCAUCUCACUUAAUUGCAUUUUACCUUUUAU
rnacentral:lncRNA from 1 species